UUAAAUUAUAAAAUUAAUUAUUGGUAUAUUAAAUAUUGUGUCCACAACUAUAUUUCCCACUCCUAUAUUUUUCUUUGGAGGUAGAGUCCACAACUAUAUAUAAAAUAAAUGUGAAAAAUAAUUAAUUAUUGAAAAAAAUAAUUAGAUAUUAUUUAAUUAACCUCACAAUUUUAAUUUUAAUCAUUUUUAUUUGUAUAAUAGAAUUAUUUAUGAAUUUUUAUUUAUUAGAUGAAAU
rnacentral:lncRNA from 1 species